CCCUGCUGGUCAAAAUAGUGUAAAAGCAGAUAUGUCCAUACAUUUUACACUUUUUUAACAAAAUAAUAGCAAGAUUUGUAUUAAAAUAUGUUAAAAAAAUGAUUUAACUUAAUUAAGACAUAGUUAAAAGUCUAUUAUGUGUUUUUAGUUUUAUUUAGGGCAAACAAAUCAUUAAAACUAACCUUUUAAUUAUGCACAUUUUUGUCAUUAAAUCUGUCUAUAAACAAAAAGUAGACAAAAUGGCAGUGUUAUUAGUCAGAAGGAUAAAUGUUUUAUGAACUUUCAUAAUAAAACUGAUCCGAGUUCAUCUAAACAUAUUAGACACUGGUCAUGUGAUCAACUCCCCCUAGUGGUGAACCAUCGGAUUUUCGAAACGUUUCGAAACAGUUAUGACGUAACGAAGCCUCGUUUGCUAAAAUCACGUGACUUGGGCCAUUUGAAACAAGCUCCGAACCACUGAUUCGAAACAAAAGAUUCGUAAAUGUUUCGAAGCCUCAUGAAGCAGUGCUUCGAAAACGACCAUCACUAGACACCACAGUCUAGCUGGAUAUGUAUGUUUGGGCAAAUGUGGGUGUUAUCCAUCUCUCCCUAGUGAUGGGCAGAGCGAGGCUUCGUGAAACACUGAAACAGUUGAAUCAAUUGUGUCGAGGCUUCGAAACAACAUAGUUCGAAACCGCCUGAUAAGGUGGAUAAGGUAAUCAAGUCUUAUAAAUGUUGCGUUUGAUGACAUCGUUUAUUUCAUUAUGUAAGUUUAUAUGUGAUGUUCAAAACGAAACUGUAAGUCAUAGAUGUUACAGUAUUAGUCCAAAUUUGAUGGUUAGCACAGCACAGAAUUAAGUUUUCAACUUACAAUCUACAAUGAUUUUUCACAUUGACAGUACAAAUCUUAUUGUGAAGUGUCUUAAAAUGACCAUUUAUAUUGCUGUACAAUACCUUUUGAUGUGCAUAUCGUCCGCGGGAAGACGCGCUGAUUACAAUCUACACACUAAUGUUGUGAUCAAUAUAAUAGCAUACGGUUUUUUGAAGGGUUACGAAUCAAAACAACUCACCCAUCGUGUAAAACACUAGCAGGAUCAGAAUCUCGGUCUAGUUAAAUGUUGAAGCUCUCUCCAUCCAGAUACUGCAACAACAAAUUGAUCCUCCCUCGUUUUGUUCCAAACUCUUCUUGGGUCGUUUGGUUGGCCUGUACGCUUACAGGAGCUGACACAACCAGCGGCAGACGGUACAGAGAUAUCCAUAAGUUCAUAAGCAAGCAUAUAGCCCGACAGGCGCUAUCGCAUAGUUCUGCAUUUGUCCACAACACUGGCUGCGUCCGAAAACUCAAGACAGUGAGGAAUUGUUGCCUCGCUGCCGCUGAAGGCCGCUCAGAGAAAGGCUUUCGGACGCACUUCAAAGGCAGCGUGUUUGAAAAAUAAACAGAGAGCGCCUUUGUGAUAACUAAUCACAUAUUUGAAAACUACAAUACUAAUUUCUCGCUAGAAAUGCAAUUAAAAUGCUUAAAAAGUGAAAAUAUACGUUUAUUUUCACUAAAUUUGUGCUCCAGUUGCUUCCUUGGCCGCCAUUUUAUUUUUUCGAGCUCGACCAGUGUUGUCAUGUGGUUUACGUCAGUAAAGGUGGUGACAAAGGGUCACAUGGAUAUUAACGUCAUUGACAGGACACUGCACUGCCCCGUAACAAUGUUUUGAAUGGAAAUUUUCUCACGAUUUACAAGUAGUUGAAAACAUUACAGAUAUUGAUAGUAAUCAGCUGGACAAAAUAUAUAACACUGGCCUAGUGGUUUUUGGAGAUUUUACUGCAAAUAUCUUACAAAUUGCACCUUUAAUAUUUUGCAUUUUACCACAUAUUAAUUAGUUAUGCUUAUGAUUAAUAGUAUUAUUUGCUGUGUAUGAUCAAAACUUACAUAUUAAUCUUUUGCCUAUCUUUGGCUUAUAACUUUUUAUUUUUAAAGGUCAUGUUUGUAUGAAACUGCUGUGUGUUGUGUGUGUGUGUGUCUAGCAUGAUAAGUUGCAGAAAGCCAACGCAGCUAACUUGAGUGUGAAAACAACAGCUGAGUGUGAAAUAAUAGGAUGCAAAAACUAUUUGCGUAAGUUGUUUGUGGAAGGGGGACUUUCCAAAGAGAAGUAAAGGUCCAACGGCCGAGGAGACCCACCCAAACUCAAGACACAUAAAUAUUUAAAUUAGAAAAUAAGCAAGUAGUUACAGCUUGACUGUCGGCAGAUUCGCAUUGCUUUUAUAUAGUUGACAGGAAAGCUGUGACCCAGAGCUCUGUAAUACUUCAUUUGAGAUUCAUUAAAAGAUUAACUUUAUUAUGUGUCUGACCUUCUCAUUUAAAGAACAUGCAGGACUAGAAAAGUCCAACACCGCACAGUUUUUUCGGGGCCAUAGCGAGAUGCUCCACACGAUUUUGCCAUUCGCUCACUGGAGUAUCACGCGAACAUGGGCUAUCUAUGUUUGUGAUUUUUGUAACUCUAAUUUUCCUGGCUUUUAUUAUGCAUAUUGGGGCCCCAUAAAAAUAAAUUAUGAUGGAAGCAUGGAAUGUGUUUUUAACGAUGGCCACUUGUGUAAACACUGUUUUUAUUGUUUUAGCAUAGGAGGACAUGAUUUAAGCCGCCCUGGAGAUAAUCCUGGUCGUAAACAUUUCAACGCGAUGUGGGCGGUCCGGUUAAAAGUUCAACGUGUCGUGGGCGGACGGUUCAAAAGUUCACAACGUGGGUGGUCUGGUCAAAAGAGCGGAGAUGAUGUGAGAGGCAGACCAGAGGGAUACAUGGUGAGACUGUCUCCUCUUGUACGGAAGAAGUCUCCUAAAUGGCCCUGCAGAUGUUCUGACUGACUUUGGAGUGCUUUUUGGACUGUUUUAUGCUAUCUAUAGAGAAGA